AUUGAACGCUGGCGGCAGGCUUAACACAUGCAAGUCGAGCGGAGAUGAGGUGCUUGCACCUUAUCUUAGCGGCGGACGGGUGAGUAAUGCUUAGGAAUCUGCCUAUUAGUGGGGGACAACAUUCCGAAAGGAAUGCUAAUACCGCAUACGCCCUACGGGGGAAAGCAGGGGAUCUUCGGACCUUGCGCUAAUAGAUGAGCCUAAGUCGGAUUAGCUAGUUGGUGGGGUAAAGGCCUACCAAGGCGACGAUCUGUAGCGGGUCUGGGAGGAUGAUCCGCCACACUGGGACUGAGACACGGCCCAGACUCCUACGGGAGGCAGCAGUGGGGAAUAUUGGACAAUGGGCGGAAGCCUGAUCCAGCCAUGCCGCGUGUGUGAAGAAGGCCUUUUGGUUGUAAAGCACUUUAAGCGAGGAGGAGGCUACCUGGAUUAAUACUCUAGGAUAGUGGACGUUAUUCGCAGAAUAAGCACCGGCUAACUCUGUGCCAGCCGCCGCGGUAAAAC
rnacentral:rRNA from 1 species